rnacentral:sRNA from 1 species
CAAGGUGAACACCAAAAAGUAAAAAGUCUGGGUAAUAAAAUCUACAGUAGGGAAAGAAAAUGCUUCUGAUAACUUCAGUGAAGCUUGCAGUUUCAGCUACUAAGUCAGGAUUGUUACCCCCACCACCUGCGCUCCCUCCGAGACCUUGUCCAUCACAGUCUGAACAAGUGUCGGAGGCUGAAUUACUCCCACAGCUGAGCAGAGCCCCAUCCCAGGCUGCAGAAAGUAGUCCAGCAAAGAAGGAUGUACCGUAUUCUCAGCCACCAUCAAAGCCCAUUCGUAGGAAAUUCAGACCAGAAAAUCAAGCUACAGAAAACCAAGAGCCUUCCACUGCUGCAAGUGGGCCAGCUUCUGCAGCAACCAUGAAACCGCAUCCAACAGUCCAAAAGCAGUCUUCCAAACAGAAGAAGGCCAUUCAAACUGCUAUCCGCAAAAAUAAAGAGGCAAAUGCAGUGCUGGCUCGGCUGAACAGUGAGCUCCAGCAGCAGCUCAAGGAGGUUCAUCAAGAACGAAUUGCAUUGGAAAACCAAUUGGAACAACUUCGUCCAGUCACUGUGUUGUGACCCCCCAUGGUUCAAGUGACAGUGGGUGACCUUGUCUGCCAAGAUCUUUCUUUUGAAUGUUUUGAACCCAACUACUUGUCAUAGAUGUUUGACUGUGUCAAAAGCUGUGAGCAGCAAAAUAUAAUCCAUAUGACCUUUUCUCUUGCA